AGAGUUUGAUCCUGGCUCAGGACGAACGCUGGCGGCGUGCUUAACACAUGCAAGUCGAACGGAAAGGCCCUUCGGGGUACUCGAGUGGCGAACGGGUGAGUAACACGUGGGUGAUCUGCCCUGCACUUUGGGAUAAGCCUGGGAAACUGGGUCUAAUACCGAAUAUGACCAUGCACUUCCUGGUGUGUGGUGGAAAGCUUUUGCGGUGUGGGAUGGGCCCGCGGCCUAUCAGCUUGUUGGUGGGGUAAUGGCCUACCAAGGCGACGACGGGUAGCCGGCCUGAGAGGGUGACCGGCCACACUGGGACUGAGAUACGGCCCAGACUCCUACGGGAGGCAGCAGUGGGGAAUAUUGCACAAUGGGCGCAAGCCUGAUGCAGCGACGCCGCGUGAGGGAUGACGGCCUUCGGGUUGUAAACCUCUUUCAGCACAGACGAAGCGCAAGUGACGGUAUGUGCAGAAGAAGGACCGGCCAACUACGUGCCAGCAGCCGCGGUAAUACGUAGGGUCCGAGCGUUGUCCGGAAUUACUGGGCGUAAAGAGCUCGUAGGUGGUUUGUCGCGUUGUUCGUGAAAACUCACAGCUUAACUGUGGGCGUGCGGGCGAUACGGGCAGACUUGAGUACUGCAGGGGAGACUGGAAUUCCUGGUGUAGCGGUGGAAUGCGCAGAUACCAGGAGGAACACCGGUGACGAAGGCGGGUCUCUGGGCAGUAACUGACGCUGAGGAGCGAAAGCGUGGGGAGCGAACAGGAUUAGAUACCCUGGUAGUCC
rnacentral:rRNA from 1 species